rnacentral:rRNA from 1 species
AGUGAACGCUGGCGGCGUGCCUAAUACAUGCAAGUCGAACGGAGUGGCGCACGGGUGAGUAAUAUAUAGCUACUCUGCCCCUUGCUGGAGGACAACAGUUAGAAAUGACUGCUAAUACUCCAUAGCGAGGGAUGAGACUAUAUCGUAUCAGCUAGUCGGUGGGGUAACGGCCUACCGAGGUUAUGACGCGUAACUGGUCUGCUAGGAUGAUCAGUCAAAUUGGAAGUGAGGCACGGUCCAGAAUCAUACGGGAGGCAGCAGUAGGGAGUAUUGCGCAAUGGGGGAAUGCCUGAAGGAGCAACGCAGCGUGGAGGAUGACACUUUUCGGAGCGUAAACGCCUGUUGUUAGGGAAGCGGUACCUAACGAAUAAGCACCGGCUAACUCCGUGCCAGCAGCCGCGGUAAUAC